GCCUAACACAUGCAAGCCGAGGCAUUUAUUCUUCGGAAUAGAGAGAGCGGCGUACGGGUGCGGAACACGUGUGCAACCUGCCUUUAUCAGGGGGAUAGCCUUUCGAAAGGAAGAUUAAUACCCCAUAAUAUAUUGAAUGGCAUCAUUUGAUAUUGAAAACUCCGGUGGAUAGAGAUGGGCACGCGCAAGAUUAGAUAGUUGGUAGGGUAACGGCCUACCAAGUCAGUGAUCUUUAGGGGGCCUGAGAGGGUGAUCCCCCACACUGGUACUGAGACACGGACCAGACUCCUACGGGAGGCAGCAGUGAGGAAUAUUGGACAAUGGGUGAGAGCCUGAUCCAGCCAUCCCGCGUGAAGGACGACGGCCCUAUGGGUUGUAAACUUCUUUUGUAUAGGGAUAAACCUUUCCACGUGUGGAGAGCUGAAGGUACUAUACGAAUAAGCACCGGCCUAACUCCGUGCCAGCAGCCGCGGUAAUACGGAAGGUGCAAGCGUUAUCCGGAUUUAUUGGGUUUAAAGGGUCCGUAGGCGGAUCUGUAAGUCAGUGGUGAAAUCUCAUAGCUUAACUAUGAAACUGCCAUUGAUACUGCAGGUCUUGAGUAAAGUAGAAGUGGCUGGAAUAAGUAGUGUAGCGGUGAAAUGCAUAGAUAUUACUUAGAACACCAAUUGCGAAGGCAGGUCACUAUGUUUUAACUGACGCUGAUGGACGAAAGCGUGGGGAGCGAACAGGAUUAGAUACCCUGGUAGUCCACGCCGUAAACGAUGCUAACUCGUUUUUGGGUCUUCGGAUUCAGAGACUAAGCGAAAGUGAUAAGUUAGCCACCUGGGGAGUACGUUCGCAAGAAUGAAACUCAAAGGAAUUGACGGGGGCCCGCACAAGCGGUGGAUUAUGUGGUUUAAUUCGAUGAUACGCGAGGAACCUUACCAAGGCUUAAAUGGGAAUUGACAGGUUUAGAAAUAGACUUUUCUUCGGACAAUUUUCAAGGUGCUGCAUGGUUGUCGUCAGCUCGUGCCGUGAGGUGUUAGGUUAAGUCCUGCAACGAGCGCAACCCCUGUCACUAGUUGCCAUCAUUCAGUUGGGGACUCUAGUGAGACUGCCUACGCAAGUAGAGAGGAAGGUGGGGAUGACGUCAAAUCAUCACGGCCCUUACGCCUUGAGCCACACACGUAAUACAAUGGCCGGUACAGAGGGCAGCUACCUAGCGAUAGGAUGCGAAUCUCGAAAGCCGGUCUCAGUUCGGAUUGGAGUCUGCAACUCGACUCUAUGAAGCUGGAAUCGCUAGUAAUCGCAUAUCAGCCAUGAUGCGGUGAAUACGUUCCCGGGCCUUGUACACACCGCCCGUCAAGCCAUGGAAGUUUGGGGUACCUGAAGUCGGUGACCGUAACAGGAGCUGCCUAGGGUA
rnacentral:rRNA from 1 species